rfam:Nocardioides sp. Leaf285 contig_1, whole genome shotgun sequence.
CCGGCACCGCGCCGGUCGACUACCCGGGUACCUGGUACGGCCCGGGAGA